rnacentral:rRNA from 1 species
UACGGAGGGGGCGAGCGUUAUUCGGAAUUAUUGGGCGUAAAGGGCGCGUAGGCGGCUAUUCAAGUCAAAGGUGAAAUCCCUCGGCUCAACUGAGGAACUGCCUUUGAAACUGAAUGGCUUGAGUCCGGGAGGGGGUAGCGGAAUUCCCAGUGUAGCGGUGAAAUGCGUAGAUAUUGGGAGGAACACCAGUGGCGAAGGCGGCUCUCUGGGCUCUACCUGACGCUGAGACGCGAAAGCGUGGGGAGCGAACCGG